CUGUGAGUGUAUGAUCGUGUCUCAGAGUUGAACGCUGGCCGCAUGACGAGCGGCGGACGGGUGAGUAAUGUCUGGGAAACUGCCUGAUGGAGGGGGAUAACUACUGGAAACGGUAGCUAAUACCGCAUAACGUCGCAAGACCAAAGAGGGGGACCUUCGGGCCUCUUGCCAUCAGAUGUGCCCAGAUGGGAUUAGCUAGUAGGUGGGGUAACGGCUCACCUAGGCGACGAUCCCUAGCUGGUCUGAGAGGAUGACCAGCCACACUGGAACUGAGACACGGUCCAGACUCCUACGGGAGGCAGCAGUGGGGAAUAUUGCACAAUGGGCGCAAGCCUGAUGCAGCCAUGCCGCGUGUAUGAAGAAGGCCUUCGGGUUGUAAAGUACUUUCAGCGGGGAGGAAGGCGUUGUGGUUAAUAACCACAGCGAUUGACGUUACCCGCAGAAGAAGCACCGGCUAACUCCGUGCCAGCAGCCGCGGUAAUACGGAGGGUGCAAGCGUUAAUCGGAAUUACUGGGCGUAAAGCGCACGCAGGCGGUCUGUCAAGUCGGAUGUGAAAUCCCCGGGCUCAACCUGGGAACUGCAUUCGAAACUGGCAGGCUAGAGUCUUGUAGAGGGGGGUAGAAUUCCAGGUGUAGCGGUGAAAUGCGUAGAGAUCUGGAGGAAUACCGGUGGCGAAGGCGGCCCCCUGGACAAAGACUGACGCUC
rnacentral:rRNA from 1 species